rnacentral:pre_miRNA from 1 species
CAUGUACUCCCUCCGUCUGAAAAUACUUGUCCUAAAAAUGGUUGUAUCUGGACUUAUUUUAGUUAUAGAUACAUCCAUUUUAUCUAUUUUUAGGACAAGUAUUUCCGGACGGAGGGAGUAGUAU